AAAAAAAGGAACUUGUAGAGUUCACUUAGCCUCCCAGAGCCUCAGUUUCCACAUCAAGAAAAGCAGGUGCUUUACUUUGUGUCCAGGAUUACAUGUGACACGGCCUUGAAAACCACAAAACACUAUGAAAAUGUGUCCCCCAUCCACCGUUCCCCACACACAGUGGCAUUUUUUUUUUUUUUUUUGGACAUGCGUUCAUCUUCUCUACAGAGACAUUUCACGUAGGACCCAAAAGACACAGUAAUAACCAUCUAUCAUAAGGAAGCUGACCUCCAGAGCUGACCUCUGCCAUUUAUGCUCUCGCAUCUCAUUUGAAUCUUUCCCAAGUCUCCCCCUUCUUCUGACCUUGAGAUGUGCCCUCAUCUCCUUUACAGACUCUAUACUGAGACGGGCCUUAAUUAAAUUUUCAGUCAUGCCCCUAUACUGGUUUCCUUCUUUAACUCCUUUAUGUUAAAUUACUGCAGUUGUAGUUUUCUCAGUGCUGAGGCCAGAGGGCAAAACAGUCUUUUUAUAGAAGGGGCCCAGUGUCAAAAUGCAUGUGCCUAUGUUUUUAAAGUGCUAUGGCAACUAAUCCCUCUCAGUGUUAUUUAUCCCCAUUGAGCCUCACAAUUGUUUGUCAUUCACCAACUCUUCUGGUUUUCUCCUCGUUUUGAAAUGUCUGAAGGAUUAUUUUGGUUGUUGGCCAUCUCUUCAUUUGCCCUUUUCAAAGACUGAAGAAUAACGCAGCCAUAUAUGGGAAAAGCCCAGUGUGUGUGUGUGUGUGUGUGUGUGUGUGUGUGUGUGUGAGAGUGAUUACUUGCUUACAUUAUUUCAAGUUUCAAGCCUUUAUUUUUAGCUACUUUCUAAAAAAGAAAGUGGAGAAAGAACUUUAAAAAUUAAUCAGGGUUGUGUGGUCCCCAUUUAUAGGCUUUAAACAACUUUUUUUUUCCUAAGUGGAGUGAGUCCAUUUAUGCAACCGUGUUUUGAUUAGGGGAACAUCGUUUCCACAAAAACACUGGGCUGUGUUGCAAUGCCCUGUUGCAAACUCAGCACUUCCCUCCUCCUCUUCCUGGCUCUUAGAGACAAAUGAUUUCCUGUUGGAGAGGAACUUGGUAAACUCCUUUGUGUACUUUGUAUGCAAAGAAUGACCAGUGAAGUUUACUGGGCUCAUUUUUCUCAGUUCCCCAGAGGAGAAGUUUUAUUAAUUGGCCCCUGUGGAAGAGAUGUAGUAGAAAAGUGAUAGUCCUUGGACUGAGAAUCACAAGGCCCCCCACCAGCAACUCAUUGUGUAAUUUGGAGAAAGUUCCUUAACUUUUCCUGUGCUCUGUGGGUCUCUGCUCUCCUCUGUGUCAGACCUAGGAGGCCUGAGGAUUACUUAGUUGUUCUGUCUCUGGGUCCACAGGCAGAAUUUGGCCCAUCCAAAGAUUGGCCAAGUGCCAAAAAAAAAAAAAAGGGGGGGCCCAGGCCCUGAAAUUCAGUGAAAUUCUGCCUGAAGAAACCUCUUACUGAAUUUGAAAACCAUUAAAAAACCAUUUCAGCACACAGAUCAGAACAAAGUAACUAUCAAGCACCUUCAAUGCCUCGCCUCAUACCUCUUCGGAUUAUUAUUGCCUCCUUCCUAUAGAGAGGUAAGCACCCCUUGAUUAUCAACACCGUGGGAGAUGUUUGUCUGAUUUUGAACUUCUGUAAAUGAAAUUAUAUAGUAUAAUCUGUUGUAUUAUAUUUGGAAUCUGUUGUUUUUUGUAGAGGGAACUUUUUCAUUAUAAAUCUUAGCAUAGUAGUGUUGUUCUUUCUGCUUCCCAUCAACAGUGUUCUUUUACUUAAAAAAAAAAAAAAAGAAAGAAAGAAAGGAAGAAAAGAAGAAGAAGAAGAAAGAAAGAAUGAUUUUUCCUGGCUGGUGGCUGAGCUCUUCAAGGCCAGAUCCUUUUUCUGCUUCUUUGGUACGAGGCACAAUUCAGGAUUUAUAAAAUGUACAGGCCACUCUUGAUAACUCCAGGAAGUUGGUUUGCUGGCUGGCGAGAGAUCCUGGAUGUGACAGAAAUUAACAACCUGUUGGCCUGCUAAUUCUUUGGCUGUACAUCCCCAUAGAAUGUAACGAGGUGACGAGGCUAGGCACAGUGGGUCACUCCUGUAAUCCCAGCACUUUGGGAGGCUGAGGUGGGAGAAUUGCUUGAGCCCAGGGGUUCAAAAGCAGCCUGAGUAACAGAGAGAGACCCUGUCUCUACAAAAAAUUAGCCAGGUAUGGUGGCACACACCUGUGGGAGUUUGAGGCUGCAGUGAGCCAGGAUCACACUACUGCCUUCCAGCCUGGGUAACAGAGGGGGUUCCUGUCUCAAAAAAAAGGAAUCAAGGUGAUGCUACAACAGUUGUCCAAACACCAAGGUAAUUGAUGGGGCACUCCUGCUUUAUCCCACUUGUGGACCAAGCAGUGCACCUCUUUUGUCUUUAGGUGAAUGAACUCUUGGUUCUAAAGUACUAAUAAAAAAAAGGCCCUGAAUGUGUAUGCCAUUUUUCUGAGCUUGGAAUUGCCAACCCCAGGGUUUUCUCAGCUUCAUGAAUUCUUUUAGCUUCAGAAAGGUAAUACAAAGCCAAAACUAGGGCAGGACCUUGGGAGGGAUCUGGCCUGGGAAAAUUCUAAUUGAUUCACAUGCUGAAGUGGAGCUGGGAUCUCAAGCCAUAUCUCGGGAUAUUUGCCCUUUCUGCAUAGGCUGUGCCCCCCAAAUCCUCAGGCCUUUAGAUUUUGAAAAAAUGUCUUUACUGUGUUCAGAAAUACUUAUCUCUGUGCUCCUAGGGACAUGGACAGAUGGACUGCUGAGGAGGGAAAUCUUAGCAGACAAGCAAUAAGAACGUAUUUCCUGAGAUGUAGCCCAGGAGAGGAGCCUCCUUUCCCCUCUGGUUCUAUACCUCUCUGGUUGAUGAUGAUGGAUAUAGCAGAAAAAAUGGGCAGGCCUCAUGUUUCACUGUAUCAAGUGUUACGGUUUGUGACCUAUUCAUCUUAUCUCCUUCCUUCCAUCCAGCCAUCCCCUCACCAGGUAAUCUGACUCUGCCAAGUGCCAAGCACUAUGAAGUUCAGAGAAGUUAAGUAACUGGUACAAGAUCCACCCAGUGUUGAGUUCCAUUUGUGUUUGGGGUAAUCUAAGGUGAUGGAUGUAUCCCAAGUCAUUUGGAUGCAGUAGAGUCUGGUUCCAGUGGGGAGGCCUCUGAAUACAAGGAAGGAUCUGGGUAUAGGUCUAACAAUGUCUGAGUUUCCUCUGUGAGGUUCCAGAAGCAGAAUCAAGAUUGCUGUUUCCCUGGAGGAUAAAUUAUAAUGUCAGCAUUCAGAAGCAUCUCAGUUUGCAUCUCUUGUCCCAAGAGGAGUUGGGCCUAACUUUAUAGGUUGAAGGAUGUCACUUUGCCCCAUGAGUUUUAUCCGCUGGAUAAGGCUGUCCUGUUUAGGAGGUGCCUGUUUAGGAAGGCAUCCUAAAGACUUUGUGAUCAUACAGAUCCGAUUAGAACCCCAGCUUUGUCUCUUAAUUUCACAUUGACUAUCUCAUUUUACAAAACCAUUUGAGGCAGCUCUUAGCACUUGUCCCUGUGUGACCUUGGGCACGUUACAUAUCUUCUCUGAACCUCAUGUUUUAUAUCUGUAAAAUGAGGAUAAUAUAAUAAGCUCCUGGAAUUCGUGGAUGGAUUAAGUCACAUGUACUAAGCAUUAGCACAGUUCUGGGCACAAAAGAGACACUUGUAAAUAUUGGUUUCAUCUUUCACUUUUAAUUAAAAUGGAAACUUAUCUACUCUCCUAAAAAGGAAUUUAUAAAGACUCUCAUAAAGCUCUGAAAGCAAUGAGUAGAGAGGGAGUGGUUGGGAAGAUUUGCUCCAUUCUGCAGUGCUUUUCUAAGGAAACACUGGCUUAUGUCCAGCUUGGUUUUUCUGCCCCCUUGGUGACUCUAGUUUAAUAGUGAGUGGUGGGUCAGUGGUGAGAGCUGAAGCUCUUAGCUGAAAUAAAGACCAUUCUGGUGUGCUUAGGGUUUUGCAAUUGCUACACUCUCCAUUUUGGCAUUGAACUUGAUUAAGACUCUUUUCAACAUCCAAGAUCGAUUUGGAGUUUGGAGUUAGUUUUUAUUUAUGCAAACUCCAAGCUUUAGAAAUAUUGCCAGGCCUGCUGGAAGCUAGUGUGAAGUUAAAGCAGCAGGUUCCAGUUGUGGCUGCAACUGUGCUUUCUCAGAAUGGCUGUUUGUUUCUGGGCAUUGGAUCUUAGCCUCCCGUCGAGGCCUGGGUCUGAAGCCAAUUUUACUCAGCUUAGGUGAAAACACCACCAGGGGUGGGUGGCCCAGAAAGAAAGAGGACCCUUUCUAUUCCUGAUCUAUAUUUAUUUUGUGGCCAACUGGGCAUAAUUGACUAAAGAUAAUUGAAUCCACCUGAUAGGUGUUAAGCCAUCUAGGCGUUGAGUUUUUGUUUGGGAGUAUUUUUUUACUUUAAAUUCCUCUAGCCUCUUUCUUCCUUUCUACCUCUUUGCUUUUCUGGCUUUAGAGCCAGAAAGAACAAAAUUCAGAUUCCUGGCUUUACCACUUGGUAGCUGUGGACCGUUGGGCAAGCCAUAUCACUUCCCUGAGCCUCCUGUGUUCCUAUUUGGAGACUGGAGGAAGGUCACAGGAUGGUAGUGAGGCCAAAAUUGGAUGCAGUGUAUGAAAACACCCAGGAGCCCUGAACACAGGCAUGGAAUUCAGUAUAUUUUAGUGCUGUUCUCCCUUCAUUCUCUGGGGUAUCAUUUUCCACAUUAUUCCAGGACAUGCCUUCCUGCCUGGCUUCUAGGGUUAGGAGGGAACAGUUGUUUAUUUGAAAGGGAAAAGGGAGAGAAGUCAGUGCUUUAGCGGGGGGAUAUAGAAGAGGCAGAAACGGUGGCUGGAAAAGGUGCUCAGAGAGUUUGAGGAAGGGAAAGGCCAGUUUACCUGUGAGACAGUGAGUAGAAGGGGCACAGCAGAGAAGGCAGGAAUGCAGAGGCCAUUGGAAAUGCUUGGACCUUCAACCCAGGGGCACUGGGAGGCCACUGAACGCUGAGGCGUGAUAUGAUUAGAUUUGGUUGCUGCGUGGAGAAUAGACGAGGUGAUACAAGUGGCUCUGGGAAUAGAAUUUGAGUCAUUUGGUCUCAAAUCAGAAGAUAGCCUAAUCCAGGGAUUCCCAUACCUGACUUUCAGUCAGAAUCGCCGGAGGAGCCAUUUCAAAAUAUGCAUUUCCCAGCCCAUCCCAGAGCUACUGAGCGAAAACCUCCAGGGACAUUAGGCAUUUGAGGACCACUGCGUCUGUCCAUGAAAAAAUGGCUUCUUGAUGGCAUCACCUGGGGCAGAGUACUUAACUUCUUAAGGCAGCAGACCAAAUCCUGCUUUUUGAAUUUUGUGCUUCCACCAACACUAGUUGUGUUUCUAAAAGGACCCUUGACACCUUGUCCCCAGUGCACAUCGCCAGCCCCAACAGGUGUUCCUGCCUGAGAGCCUUUGGAAGCUAAUUAGAUAAGCACAGGUGUGCCUAAUGAAUUCCUGCUGGACCACACGCUGUCCAGCUGGGAACAGCCCGGGAGUGAGGCCAAACGACCAUAUAAAGGCCCUAUUCUGCUGCUUUUUGCAUCCUAUCUGCUGUGUUUUCGUUCUCCACGGUGAGGACAGUGUGUCCUGUCUCCUAAGGCCCUGUGAGCCAAGCUCAGCUAUAACCUGGUGCCCCACAUCUGACAACAGGGAUUUCCACUCAAAGCGUGUGGCCCUUUUGGGCCUGGGGGUGAUGAGUGGGACUAGAGCCAAGAAACCACAGGUAAUUGGGCUUCUUCUAAGCUCUGUAAUUCCCAGGUGGGUUUUUUAAUAUUCAGGGAGUAGCAAAGAUACAAAUAUUGUAGAGCUAGACGUUUCUACGGAACACUAAUGUUGGUGAUUAUUUUGCAGGGAGAGGUAACGGAGGUAACAGGGACUUAGGGUUUUCAUUUUGUACCUUUCUGCACUGUUUUGAAAAAUUAAGAUUAUAAGCCAUUUUUUAAAAUCACCCGUUUCAAGACAUAACAUAUAUAGUAAAAUGAACCCACUUUAAUAUGAUUUGACAAGUGUAUACACUCAUAUAACUACCACUUCCACAAAUGAGAUACAGAAUUUUUCUGUCACCCCAAAAAGUUCCUUUGUGCCUUCUCCCAGUUCAUCUCCCCACCCUCAGCCUCAGGCAACCACCAAUCCAAUUUCUAUAUGGACCGUUUUAAUUUUUUUUCUGUAUAUUUUUCUGUGCUAAGGAAAAAAAUUAUAAUGGAAAUCUUAAAAUGUGCAGAGGGAGGCAAGGUUUGGCCACUCUGAGGAAUCCCUCUUACUAGCUACAAAGUUGUAGGUAAGGGGCAGGUGUGUGUGUGUGUGUGAAACUGGCAGUGUUUUCCCCUUGUGGGGAGAGGGGGGAAAUGAGAAAACAAUAUUCAGGGGAGGCUGUUUAAAAUAAAGUUAAAAGUUUAGAUAAUUUUUUUAAAAAUAGGAAAAUGGAAGUAAAUAUGUCAUGGGAGUAUGGGUUAUUGUUUUAUUUGCUUGUUUUCUGUCAUGUGCUUAUCGUUUUUAUUACAGGAAGAGUUAACUUUUUUUUUUGAAAAGCAGUUUAAUGCUUACCUGACUAUAAGGAGAAACUGACAACAAAUAGGAGUAAAACAAGAGUUGAGAGUAAGCUGUGUAAGACUUCUUCCACGUUAUGACUAAAUCCAAAAGGUCAAAAAUUUCCUUUGAGCAGGGGCUUUAGUUCCCUGUGUGGAUGGAAAAAUACCUUUGAUAUCACUUUAUAAAGCCUUUUAAUUUAAAUGUUAAUUUAACAUGAGCUAAAUUAGGUGGUGUGGUGGUGCUAUUUUUAGAAAAUGCACAAAGAAUUAGAGGCUUGCUAAGUGCUUCCAUCCGUUUUCUGACAUGACAGAAAACAAGCAAACAAAACAACCCAUAAUCCCAUGACAUAUUUACAGCUAACAGGUGAUGCUGAGUGGUACAGAGCAAACCACAGGAGGGUGUAACUAAGGUUAGUAACAAAGCAUCCUGUUUCCCUCGCUUGCCUGAUGGGAACCACCUGGAGCUCUUGUUAAAUCUGCAGAUUCUCAGGCCUUUCCCCAGGCCUUUUGAAUCAAGUUCCAGGGGCUGCUUCUGAUGAGGCAAGUUUAGAAAAAUACUGAGCAAUGCUUUGCUUUAUAGACUUUGCACACUUCUAAGUAGGAAGGUCAUGGUGAAUUUUUCUCCACCCAAGCAAGGGACAAAUCUUUUUAACUUAUUUGGGAGUUGGGGCCUGGCCUCUCUCAACAGGUAUGUAUAUAUUUAUUUGCAUAAGGUACUUGGAUUUUAGAUUGCUGCGGGAUUUCUAUGCGUGUGUAAGUAAGGUGCUAAUUUUAAGUAGCAACCUCUGCUCUUUAAAUUUUAUGCAGUUCUUUAAGAUUGAGGGAAUGCAAUGCAGAGCAUAUGAAUGGUGGCAAGUCAGAGGUUUUCUUGUGGUUUGUGUGGGACCUGUUUUCUCUGUAUAGUCCAGAUUUGAAUAAUUUUGUAGGCCUUGGAUUGUUUUUUUUACUUGUUUAUUCAUUUCAUAAUUUAUUGUCUUAUGAAUAAAUCGCUGUGCUAUGAGUAAAUACAAGUAGCUCAGCCUGUGUCUUGUCCUCUAAAAGAAAGAAAGAUAAAAACGUUUCUUAAAGUAAUUAUAGUAUUCAGACUGAUCCUAAAAUUCAUGUGGAAAUGCAAGGGACCCAGAAUAGCCAAAACAAUCCUGGACAUGAAGAACAAAAUUGGAGGACUCAUACUUUCCAGUUUCAAACUUAGUACAAAUCUACUGUAAUCAAGAUAGUUAAGUACUCACAUAGAGAUAGAUAUAUAGAUAAAUGGAAAGAAUCGAGAGUCCAAAAAUAAACCCUUCAUGGCCAACCAGUACAGUUUAAUUGGGAAAGAAUACUGUUUUCAACAAAUAGUAUGGACACAACAGGAUUCCACAUGCAAAAGAAUGAAUUUAGACCUUUAUUUCAUACCAUAUUAAAAAAUUAACUCAAAAUAGAUCAUAGACAUAAUGUGAGAGCUAAAACUGUAAAAAUUCGUAGAAGAAAAUAUCAUAAAUCUUUAUGACCUUGAGUUAGACAAUGGUUUCUUAUAUAAGAUGCCAAAAGACCAAGCAAUGUAAGAAAAAAUGGUAAGUAGGACUUCACUAAAAUAAACUGUUGUGCUUCAAGAGAGAAAAAAAAAAA